rnacentral:rRNA from 1 species
UGAGGAAUAUUGGGCAAUGCCCGCAAGGGUGACCCAGCAACGCCGCGUGGAGGAUGAAUGUCGUAAGAUUGUAAACUCCUGUUAGAGGGGAAGAAUAGUACCGGUUGGACCGGUAUAUGACUGUACCCUCAGAGAAAGCCCCGGCUAACUACGUGCCAGCAGCCGCGGUAAUACGUAGGGGGCAAGCGUUGUCCGGAUUUACUGGGUUUAAAGGGUGCGUAGGUGGGCUUAUAAGUCAGUGGUGAAAUCUCCGAGCUUAACUUGGAAACUGCCGUUGAUACUAUAGGUCUUGAAUUAUCUGGAGGUCAGCGGAAUAUGUCAUGUAGCGGUGAAAUGCUUAGAUAUGACAUAGAACACCAAUUGCGAAGGCAGCUUACUACAUAUAAAUUGACGCUGAGGCACGAAAGCGUGGGGAUCAAACA